rnacentral:lncRNA from 1 species
UGGUAGGUUUAUUUGAACAGUGAGAGACAGAAUAACAACAAAAAAAUCCAGAAAAACGCAUGUCAAAAAUGUUAUAAAUUGAUUUACAUUUUAAUGAGGGAAAUAAGUAUUUGACCCCUCUCAAUCAGAAAGAUUUCUGGCUCCCAGGGGUCUUUUAUACAGGUAACGAGCUGAGAUUAGGAGCACACUCUUAAAGGGAGUGCUCCUAAUCUCAGUUUAUUACCUGUAUAAAAGACACCUGUCUACAGAAGCAAUCAAUCAGAUUCCAAACUCUCCACCAUGGCCAAGACCAAAGAGCUCUCCAAGGAUGUCAGGGACAAGAUUGUAGACCUACACAACCCCUUUGUUACGGCAACGAGAACCUGCAGUUGGAUGCGUCCGUUAAACAGGCUGGAAACAGGUGGCCAGGUGCAGCUCCAGCGUGACACACCUGGAGAAGGAGUGAGAACAUCAGACGCUGGAAACAGGUGGCCAGGUGCAGCUCAGCGUGACACACCUGGAGAAGGAGUGAGAACAUCAGACGCUGGAA